rnacentral:rRNA from 1 species
CCUACGGGGGGCAGCAGUAGGGAAUCUUCCACAAUGGACGCAAGUCUGAUGGAGCAACGCCGCGUGAGUGAAGAAGGUUUUCGGAUCGUAAAGCUCUGUUGUUGUUGAAGAAGGAUAGAGGUAGUAACUGGCCUUUAUUUGACGGUAAUCAACCAGAAAGUCACGGCUAACUACGUGCCAGCAGCCGCGGUAAUACGUAGGUGGCAAGCGUUGUCCGGAUUUAUUGGGCGUAAAGCGAGCGCAGGCGGAAAAAUAAGUCUAAUGUGAAAGCCCUCGGCUUAACCGAGGAACUGCAUCGGAAACUGUUUUUCUUGAGUGCAGAAGAGGAGAGUGGAACUCCAUGUGUAGCGGUGGAAUGCGUAGAUAUAUGGAAGAACACCAGUGGCGAAGGCGGCUCUCUGGUCUGCAACUGACGCUGAGGCUCGAAAGCAUGGGUAGCGAACAGGAUUAGAUACCCUUGUAGUC